UACUAUUUUGUUACUUCCUCAUCACGACACCGAUCCUUCUCUCCGUUCACUGCUCGCCGGCGACUGCCAUCUCCGUUCACCUCUAUGGAAGACAAAGAUAAUGCCGAUUUAGACUCUCAUUCGGGCCUCGAAUUUGACAAUAACUCUGACUCUGAUGACGUCUUUGACUAUUUUCGCAUGACGAAAGAAGAUUUUGAUGAUGCGAGUGGAAGAAGAUUUAGACAUGGCGACGUUGUUUCUUCCAUGUCUAAUCCUGACAAACUUGGCCAAGUAGUUCAAAUUAAUCGGUUCUUUGGAAUGUUUGAUUCGGAUGAUCUCUACUCUUUUCAAGACAUUCCAUCUAACCAACUAAAGCGUAUAACAAAAUUUGCGAAAGGAGAUUUGGUAGUCCUUACCCAUUGGUUGGGUAGGGUAGUUUACGUUUCAUGUGAUACUACUGUUAAGUUCGAGAAUGAUGACUCUUUACGCACUUUUAGAGGAGGGACAGGUCUUUAUCCACGUUUUCCUUCAUGGAAUAUCUCAUGUGACAGGCCUUGUCCACUACAUCCUGGACAACAGGUGAUGGUUGCGGGUAAACCAUGUACAGUAAUCGAUCUGGUUGAUAGAUUUGUAUAUGUUGAAUGGAUCGCUAAUUCUGAAUGCAGUGGCUCCCCUCCCCCUCCCGAUAAACAAGAUCCUAACAGCUUGACACAAGUGUUUUCAUAUCUCUCGACUUGGAAAAUAGGAGAUGUAUGCAAGCAUGUGUCGUAUCCUGAAAUUGUUGUUCUAAUCACUGACAUUAGAACGUUUGUUGAUGUGUCUUGGCAAGAUGGGUCAACAGAAAGAAACAUUCCAUCAACUCUACUGAAGCCCAUUUCUGAUAUAGGAGUUCAUGACUUUUUAGUGGAUCAAUAUGUUGUUUUGGAUAAUUCUGAACACUUGGGAGUCGUCAAAUCUGUUAAUCACAGGGAGAAAACCACAACGGUGAAGUGGAUAAAUCGCCUGAAUGAGGAUAUCAUUAGUUCUAGCCGCCUGAAUCGGCACCAUCUUUUUAACUAUCACCUGGGUAAUUUGGUUUUCCGCCGAAUAACAAAAGAAGCUGAAAAUUCUGAUUUGUCCUCCUUUGGGAGUAUAAUUGGCUUCAAAGAUGGCAACAUUGAGGUUGCAUGGGAUGAUGGUACUACAUCUAUGGUUCAACCUCAAGAACUUCAUGGUCUUGAUCGAAAUGAUUAUGGGUAUAAAUCUGAUGAAUACUCAUCCAGCAGCGAUGAAGAAGUUGGGGACUCAUUGGUUGUAGAAAUUCCUGAUUCCAAUGUCGAUUUGUUGGACUUUGUGGACCUGCAGAGUGUUAAAUGCCUUAAUGAAAGCCACAUCCACUGUAUUAGCAAUGCCCUAGAAAAGGAUUACAGAGAUUUCAAGGGUUUGAACUUGGAGAGCACUGCAGAUGAGCAGCUAUUGAUUUACAUUCCUUUUAAGCAGCCUAUCAAUUUGCAUUCACUGAUUAUUGGAGGACCUCUGGAGGAAGGUGAAUUCUGUACUUGCAUAAUAUUUGGUGUCCUUUCCUGGACUGACCCAUUUGUGGCACAUUUUUCACCAUUACCAUGUGUUAUCACUAAUUGAAUUGGACCUAUAUGUAGUGAUGCUAUUGAAACCACUCCAAGGGACACAGCAAUUUUAUCUGAAGAUAAUCUCAGGGGAAAAGCAGUUAAGUUGAAACAAGUUAAGUUUCAAAGCGUUCACAGUGUGACUAUUUUUAUCGAGGACAAUCAGUAUGGUUCCAAACUUACAAGAGUUGAAAGAAUUUAUUUGUUUGGAACAUCGAACUUCUGAGCCAUGAACACCAAGAAAAGCUGUAGAUUUUUGUACAUGUUGAGGAAUUUUUUUCAGUGUUGAUGAGAGAGAGGAGUGUAUUGUGUAAGAGGUGUAAAAGAAGAAAACAAAAACAAUUUUUUGUGAUACGUAAAUGUACUUUUGAGUUUUGUAAAUUUUACCAACUAAGAAGAUGCUUGCUAUUGUUGGCAAGUGCUUCGAACUUACGAUAUUGAAGUUUU